UAUUUUAGUCUCUGUCCUUUGGUGCUCGUUAGGGGAAUAUAUAUAGAGAGGUUGUUCAAGAUUAAAACUGAAACAGAGUUUCAAUCCUGUGUGAUGCCUUGCUUGUGUGAAACACAACAAGAACACACGUUCGGGUUUCUAUUUAUUUUCAGAGUGAACUGAAAGAAAAUUGCACCAUGUGCACCGGCUUCGCCAACCGACCACGUGGGGUGGCAAGGACACAAGAAAAGGAGACUGACCAAAUGGGGGAUAGUUGCUGAUCGGUUCAUACAACCUUGCUGAUUCUGAAGAACAAAGCAACAAUCACGAGCCUCAAGAUGGAUGCCAAGUGGCUGCUGGUUAAGUCAGCAGUGAUGGCACCUGUUUGGUGAUGUAGCUAUAGAUGGAAUGUCUUGCUUUAGAUCAUCUGUUCUUGUCCAUGAGGAUGUUUAGGAAGUGAACUCUGAAUGAAAACUAAAGCUUCACUGACCGUCAUUCUAGUUAUCUACAAACUAGAGGGCUGUUUCACAAAACCAGGAUAGCAGAAUAAGCUGGGAUUUUCUAGAUAUCCUGUUUUAAACCUCAAUUCAGUGUUACAAAAGAAAUAUCACACAAGUUACCAUUGUGAUUUAUGCUCCAGACCAGGCGAGCAGCCAUGCUUAGUUAAGCCAGGAACAUUAUCUGUUCAGUCAGCAGUCAUAGUAGUCAGAAACCAAGGAGUUUUUUUUAUGAUUAUCUGCAUGAAUUGUUUUUUUUUUUUUAACGACCCUGCAUUAAGACACCUGUAAUUCAUUUUGGUAUUCAGUCAGGUACUAUUAUUUUUAAAGUGUACCAUUAGAAAACACAAUUAGCAAUUUUAAAAUGACCCAUACAGACUCCUGUACGGGAGCGUGCCAUUGACAUGUUGGAUGUAGGACGUGCACCAGAGCAGAAGCUGCACGGCUCAUAACAGUCAUGAAAGAAUUCACUGUCAGCUGAACAUGUUAUAAUAUUGACUUCCACUGUUCAUUGAUUAGGUUAUAGUUUUCUUCAUUUCUGAAAAUCUCAAAUAUGGGUUAGUUAUGUUUAGUUAAGAAUAGUUUGGAAAUAUAUAUUUUAGGCUAAUUAUGUAUUCAAGUGAUCUGCUGUUGUUUACUCUUGUAGUGGCAAUGUUUUUUUGUAUGAUGUACUUCAAUUCCUCAUAAACUUCAAUAAAAAAAUGUUUGGUGUGA